GGAUUAGAUACCCUGGUAGUCCACGCUGUAAACGAUGAUCACUAGGUGUUCGGCCUUCGGGUUGAGUGCCCAAGCGAAAGCGAUAAGUGAUCCACCUGGGGAGUACGUUCGCAAGAAUGAAACUCAAAGGAAUUGACGGGGGCCCGCACAAGCGGUGGAGCAUGUGGUUUAAUUCGAUGAUACGCGAGGAACCUUACCUGGGCUACAAUGCCUCUGCUAUCCGGUGAAAGCUGGAGUUCCUUCGGGACAGAGUGCAAGGUGCUGCAUGGUUGUCGUCAGCUCGUGCUG
rnacentral:rRNA from 1 species